rnacentral:rRNA from 1 species
AGGAGCCGCGGUAAUUCCAGCUCCAAUAGCGUAUAUUAAAGUUGUUGCAGUUAAAAAGCUCGUAGUUGAAUUUCGGGGCCAGUAGGUCGGUCGUGCCACUGGUAUGAACUGGUUUUACUGAUUCCUCCCUCUUGAAGAACUGUAAUGCCAUUAAUUUGGUGUUGCAGGGAAUCAGGACUGUUACUUUGAAAAAAUUAGAGUGUUUAAAGCAGGCUUUAGCUUGAAUACAUUAGCAUGGAAUAAUGAAAUAGGACGUUUGAUCCUAUUUUGUUGGUUUCUAGGAUUGACGUAAUGAUUAAUAGGGAUAGUUGGGGGCAUUAGUAUUCAAUUGUCAGAGGUGAAAUUCUUGGAUUUAUUGAAGACUAACUACUGCGAAAGCAUUUGCCAAGGAUGUUUUCAUUAAUCAAGACGAAAGUUAGGGGAUCGAAGACGAUCAGAUACCGUCGUAGUCUUAACCAUAAACUAUGCCGACUAGGGACCGGAUGAUGUUAAUUUUUUUAAUGUACUCAUUCGGCGCCUU